GAUGAACGCUGGCGGCGUGCUUAACACAUGCAAGUCGAACGGUGAACGAGGGAGCUUGCUCCCUCCGGAUCAGUGGCGAACGGGUGAGUAACACGUGAGCAAUCUGCCCUGGACUCUGGGAUAAGCGUUGGAAACGACGUCUAAUACCGGAUACGAGGCGUGGGGGCAUCCCCAACGCCUGGAAAGAACUUCGGUCCAGGAUGAGCUCGCGGCCUAUCAGCUAGUUGGUGAGGUAACGGCUCACCAAGGCGACGACGGGUAGCCGGCCUGAGAGGGUGACCGGCCACACUGGGACUGAGACACGGCCCAGACUCCUACGGGAGGCAGCAGUGGGGAAUAUUGCACAAUGGGCGCAAGCCUGAUGCAGCAACGCCGCGUGAGGGACGACGGCCCUCGGGUUGUAAACCUCUUUUAGCAGGGAAGAAGCGAAAGUGACGGUACCUGCAGAAAAAGCACCGGCUAACUACGUGCCAGCCGCCGCAGUAACAC
rnacentral:rRNA from 1 species